CCUACGGGAGGCAGCAGUGGGGAAUAUUGGACAAUGGGCGAAAGCCUGAUCCAGCCAUGCCGCGUGUGUGAAGAAGGCCUUCGGGUUGUAAAGCACUUUCAGUGGGGAAGAAAGCCUUGGGGCUAAUACCCUCGAGGAAGGACAUCACCCACAGAAGAAGCACCGGCUAACUCCGUGCCAGCAGCCGCGGUAAUACGGAGGGUGCGAGCGUUAAUCGGAAUUACUGGGCGUAAAGCGCGCGUAGGCGGUCUGAUAAGCCGGUUGUGAAAGCCCCGGGCUCAACCUGGGAACGGCAUCCGGAACUGUCAGGCUAGAGUGCAGGAGAGGAAGGUAGAAUUCCCGGUGUAGCGGUGAAAUGCGUAGAGAUCGGGAGGAAUACCAGUGGCGAAGGUGGCCUUCUGGACUGACACUGACGCUGAGGUGCGAAAGCGUGGGUAGCAAACAGGAUUAGAUACCCCAGUAGUC
rnacentral:rRNA from 1 species